CUCCGGGCCCGCCGCGCCGCCUUUGUCCGGGGGCGCUCAGCGCGCCCGCGGCCCCCGCCGCCCGCUCCUUCCAUCCGCAGCGCUGCCCGCCUUUCGGCCGACCCUCAGCCGGUCCCCUCCACGCUGAGCCCUUUCCCCCGGUUGUUUUGCACACCUUGCAGGGAGCGGUUGCUUAUUUCGAGCUGCUGGCGCCGGGCAGCCAGGCGGGUGCGUUAGGUGCCCGCAGGCACGGCUCCCACUUGUGGCUCGGUCAUUUCUCACACCGCGAAUCGAACAAACAUGACGGGCAGAGGUGGUUACAGCUAAUGUGUGAACUUCCACUGUUCGCAUAGUGGAAAGAGACCACAGAUCUGAAACAGGAGAUUUGAGAAGUGAACAAAUGUGGAUCCUCCUGUGAAGAUUUAUGUAUUCUCUCCAUUUCCCCCUUGACUAUUUUCACACUAUGUUCCAAAAUGCUGCAGAAAACAGAUUUGAUCACAGGUUUUUCUUCACCACCUUCAUAUGAAUUUCCUUGUUUACCACCUGUAUACUUACAGGAUUUAAAUGUAGAUUUAAUCUUCCUAGCUUUUAAAUUCAUAUGCUCCAUUAAAAAUCAUCAUUUGAUUUUGUUUUAAGGCAAAAAUUACUUCCAGCUGCUUCUUGUACAUGAUUUUUGUUGAUUUCCAUGGGAUUAACAUAGGAUGUGCCAGGGAGAGAGAAACCCACACUGGAUAGUGCAGGUAAGGCGGUAGGGAUCCAGGAUCCUGAUGACUGGCGACAGUUUUAAAAGAUGGUACUUCUGCUUCAUCGUUGUAGUGGAUACUUCUUACUCAGUUAUUUUGGAGCUGUAGACUAGAGUUCUGUUCCUGCCAUAAAACAUUUAAAAUGUUAUGCUGAGUAGAAACAAUCUGAAAUUUGCACCCCGAGAUGCUGCCUAACAUGUUUGGAAUGGUUUAUCACAGUUGAAAUUCAAAACAGUCUGCAAACAUAGUAAGUGACGGUUCUUAUUUUUGGCCUUUUUUUAAAGGUCUCCUUACUGGACUCCUGAUCAGCUUCAGCAUCAAACUCUGAAGCCUACAGCUAGUAACUGAAUAAAGUGAACUGUGAUCGGUAUCUGGAAAAUGGGAUCCUAACAGUUUCACAAUUAAAGUAAAAAUCUAACAUUGAUGGAUAGGUUUAGGGAUAGAUAAUUCUAAAACGAUAGCAGAAAGAGCAGAGAUGUGAAAGUAACAGCUUUACUGGAUUCUUGUGAUGCAAUUUCUUGUUUGGUUAGAAAGGAUACUGAAGACUAAAGUGUAUGAUAUGAAUAAGGAGCGUAAAUGCAGAAUUUAUUUGGUUAAAUAAAAAAGAUGAACAUCUAGGUCAAGGAAACCUUUGUGAUUUUUCCCUGUAAAUAAAAAGGCAUGUU